rnacentral:rRNA from 1 species
GACGAAGAGGGCAAGUGUUAUUCUUCGUGAUUGGGCGUAAAGGGUGCGUAGACGGUUCUUUAAACCCCGUCUGUAAAAUUCCACAUUUCAGCUGUGGUGUGGAUGGGCCGAUUAAAGGGGCUAGAGUUUUGGGGAGGUUGGCCGCACUUUUAAGGUUAGGGGUAAAAUCCGACGAGUUUAAAGGGACGAUCGGUAGGUGAAAACAGCGAACCAUUUAAAACUGACGUUGAGGCACGAAGGUGUGGGGAGCAAACCGG